rnacentral:rRNA from 1 species
AAAUUGAAGAGUUUGAUCAUGGCUCAGAUUGAACGCUGGCGGCAGGCCUAACACAUGCAAGUCGAACGGUAACAGGAAGCAGCUUGCUGCUUUGCUGACGAGUGGCGGACGGGUGAGUAAUGUCUGGGAAACUGCCUGAUGGAGGGGGAUAACUACUGGAAACGGUGGCUAAUACCGCAUAACGUCGCAAGACCAAAGAGGGGGACCUUCGGGCCUCUUGCCAUCAGAUGUGCCCAGAUGGGAUUAGCUUGUUGGUGAGGUAACGGCUCACCAAGGCGACGAUCCCUAGCUGGUCUGAGAGGAUGACCAGCCACACUGGAACUGAGACACGGUCCAGACUCCUACGGGAGGCAGCAGUGGGGAAUAUUGCACAAUGGGCGCAAGCCUGAUGCAGCCAUGCCGCGUGUAUGAAGAAGGCCUUCGGGUUGUAAAGUACUUUCAGCGGGGAGGAAGGUGUUGCGGUUAAUAACCGCAGCAAUUGACGUUACCCGCAGAAGAAGCACCGG